GAUAAAGAACGUAGCGAAAUGCGAUAAGUAAUGUGAAUUGCAGAAUUCAGUGAAUCAUCGAAUCUUUGAACGCACAUUGCGCCCGCCAGUAUUCUGGCGGGCAUGCCUGUUCGAGCGUCAUUUCAACCAUCAAGCCCCAGGCUUGUGUUGGGGACCUGCGGCUGCCGCAGGCCCUGAAAACCAGUGGCGGGCUCGCUGUCACACCGGGCGUAGUAGAUUUUAUCUCGCUCAGGGCGUGCUGCGGGUCCCGGCCGUUAAAAGCCUUUUUUUACCCAAGGUUGACCUCGGAUCAGGUAGGAAGACCCGCUGAACUUAAGCAUAUCAAUAAGCGGAGGA
rnacentral:misc_RNA from 1 species